ensembl:lncRNA novel transcript
GGGCUUUUGGGAAUCGCCUGGAUGGUGGUGUCGGAUCAGCCCAGUUGGCUUUUCAAGUUGGAACUGCUAAUACAAGGGAUUUGCGUCCAUCCUGGCGGCUGGGGUCGUGGGCCAGGCCAGCGGGCUCUCUUAAGGGUAAUAACACGUUUGCUGGCAAGAUGCAUUUCUACGGAAACGUCUUUACAUCAGCUCUGGGGAAUAUGACCAUGGUCGAAUAAUGCAUCUGAAGGAACUGGACAGUGAGAAGACGAAGCUUCACGUAACAAUGUUCAGCUUGGUGAUUUUUAAAGCAACGCUUGAACAAAGAGUUACUGGCUUGAACCAACCGUCUUUUUCACUCAGAGUGUGACCUAUUUCCCUACAAUGAGCAGAAAAUAAAACUGUUUGAGAAUUCAGAGCCAGCACCAGGAGAAAUGAACCAUUCCCUCGACUGCUUCUCACCUUCAUAAGCGAAAGAUUAUUCCUUGCAAGAUCACCAAAUGUAAACGAGAAAAGGUGGUCUGAUUUUGCCACGAGUGAAAACUUUGGGAAGAAAAUGCUUAUUAAGCUGUUUCCUUGGUUCCCCUCACCCCUCAUACUUUAAGUCAGUGCCUUGUCUCUCACGCACAAAAAGCGUCUGGUACUUCGGUGGCAAGGAGUGCAGUGACAGAUGGAGGUAUCCUGUGUACCAUUAUAGAAGGUUUUCCUCUAACCCAAGUUAGACUUGGAGAGCUCAGGGAUCUUGCUAUCUCUCAACAUACAGAACAUUUCUCCUUAGAACUGCAAUCCGGUUUAGAAUGUCAUCGUUGCUGCUGCCUCCCUUCCUUUCAGGAGCACAUUCGCCUGCGUGCGCACUCACACACACGUUCAAAAAGAGUCCAUUCGAUUCUGGCAGUAGGCUGAAAACGAUCCAUAUUGACGCGAAUAACAUCCCAACUGUAAAUAUGGAUUCGUCUACUCGAGGCUGUGUCUCAUUUCACCAUAGAGGAAAAUUAUGUCAUUUAAAACAGUGAUAAAACGCGAAGAGUUUCGAUCUUCUGUAAAUGGCUCUCACUUUGAAUUGUGGGGGAAAAAAAUCACUAAUUGGGAAUAGCCAGAGAAGGGGGAAUUUGUUGAGCGCCCAAGGCCAAUCUCAAAAUAUUUUAUUUCAUGCCAAUGUGGGAGAGGGAAGGGAGUGUGGCUUCGCUGUUUGCCGCUUUUGCAUUUUCCACAUCUGGCCUACAGACCUAAUUCUAACUUGCGAUCUCGCUUGAUGAAAUUCGAUCUUCGUGGUUUAAAUACCUUUCAAUUUGGGACGAUUUAACCAUUGCAGCAGUUCAAAAAACAAACCCUGAGCAUUAUCUGUAAAACCAAUAUGGAAAAAA